UACAGAGGGGGCAAGCGUUGUUCGGAAUUACUGGGCGUAAAGGGCGCGUAGGCGGCCGCCUAAGUCAGACGUGAAAUCCCUCGGCUCAACCGGGGAACUGCGUCUGAUACUGGGUGGCUUGAAUCCGGGAGAGGGAUGCGGAAUUCCAGGUGUAGCGGUGAAAUGCGUAGAUAUCUGGAGGAACACCGGUGGCGAAGGCGGCAUUCUGGACCAUAACUGACACUGAGAGACGAAAGCCAGGGGAGCAAACGGG
rnacentral:rRNA from 1 species